AUGACGCCACUGAUCGCACCUGACCAGAAUGGAUCGUCAAGACCUUACGUCGAGCUGAAGUUGAAAGCGAGAUGGGAGAUACCUGCAAGACACUCUGAUGUCAAAGGUCGUGGAGCUGAUGAAAGAAGAGCUGAGAAGAAAAAGAGAAAGAACAACAGCCGUGGAGCUGAUGAAAGAAGAGAUGAGAAGAAUGAGAGUUUCAAGAACAAGGGGCGAGAAGAAUGA